rnacentral:rRNA from 1 species
GAUGAACGCUGGCGGCGUGCCUAAUACAUGCAAGUCGAGCGAACAGACGAGGAGCUUGCUCCUCUGACGUUAGCGGCGGACGGGUGAGUAACACGUGGAUAACCUACCUAUAAGACUGGGAUAACUUCGGGAAACCGGAGCUAAUACCGGAUAAUAUAUUGAACCGCAUGGUUCAAUAGUGAAAGACGGUUUUGCUGUCACUUAUAGAUGGAUCCGCGCCGCAUUAGCUAGUUGGUAAGGUAACGGCUUACCAAGGCAACGAUGCGUAGCCGACCUGAGAGGGUGAUCGGCCACACUGGAACUGAGACACGGUCCAGACUCCUACGGGAGGCAGCAGUAGGGAAUCUUCCGCAAUGGGCGAAAGCCUGACGGAGCAACGCCGCGUGAGUGAUGAAGGUCUUCGGAUCGUAAAACCCUGUUAUUAGGGAAGAACAAAUGUGUAAGUAACUAUGCACGUCUUGACGGUACCUAAUCAGAAGGCCACGGCUAACUACGUG